rnacentral:rRNA from 1 species
UGAACGCUGGCGGCGUGCCUAAUACAUGCAAGUCGAGCGAACAGACGAGGAGCUUGCUCCUCUGACGUUAGCGGCGGACGGGUGAGUAACACGUGGAUAACCUACCUAUAAGACUGGGAUAACUUCGGGAAACCGGAGCUAAUACCGGAUAAUAUAUUGAACCGCAUGGUUCAAUAGUGAAAGACGGUUUUGCUGUCACUUAUAGAUGGAUCCGCGCCGCAUUAGCUAGUUGGUAAGGUAACGGCUUACCAAGGCGACGAUGCGUAGCCGACCUGAGAGGGUGAUCGGCCACACUGGAACUGAGACACGGUCCAGACUCCUACGGGAGGCAGCAGUAGGGAAUCUUCCGCAAUGGGCGAAAGCCUGACGGAGCAACGCCGCGUGAGUGAUGAAGGUCUUCGGAUCGUAAAACUCUGUUAUUAGGGAAGAACAAAUGUGUAAGUAACUAUGCACGUCUUGACGGUACCUAAUCAGAAAGCCACGGCUAACUACGUGC